AUUGAACGCUGGCGGCAGGCUUAACACAUGCAAGUCGAACGAGCGGCGGACGGGUGAGUAAUGUCUGGGAAACUGCCUGAUGGAGGGGGAUAACUACUGGAAACGGUAGCUAAUACCGCAUCCCAUCAGAUGUGCCCCGAUGGGAUUAGCUAGUAGGUGGGGUAAUGGCUCACCUAGGCGACGAUCCCUAGCUGGUCUGAGAGGAUGACCAGCCACACUGGAACUGAGACACGGGCCAGACUCCGACGGGAGGCAGCAGUGGGGAAUAUUGCACAAUGGGAGCAAGCCUGAUGCAGCCAUGCCGCGUGUAUGAAGAAGGCCGUCGGGUUGUAAAGUACUUUCAGCGGGGAGGCGUUACUCGCAGAAGAAGCACCGGCUAACUCCGUGCCAGCAGCCGCGGUAAUAC
rnacentral:rRNA from 1 species